AAGUUUCUCUGUGUGAUUUUUUAAACUUGCGAAAACACUCUACAAUGCAGGCUGUUCAUCGGUCUGAUGUUAGUGAAAUGGGUGAGAGUUGACACCGUGGGCCUUCACAGGACCUGCUUUUGGUUUGCCUGGUAAAUAUUUCUGUCAUAAUACAGAAGAUUCUGCAAGUGGCCCAAAGGAGUGCAUAUACUUCAUAGGCCUUCUGAGAGGAAGCCAUCCAGGGUAUUUCUUAGUGACCUGUCUUCAAGAUACAAUAAAAGCAGUGGAUUCCCUGAGCUCAUAUUCCCUCAGCUACAAAGCAAACUCACUGUCUGCAUAGCAUACACCUGGGCUUCUCCCUGUUGUACCCGCUGGGAAUUGGUACAGCAUUUUGUUCAUGCUCCUGGUUGUGUAUGAGUAAUAAAGUACU